rnacentral:rRNA from 1 species
UACCCUAACCGUGCGAAGGUAGCAUAAUCACUUGUUCUUUAAAUGGGGACUAGUAUCAACGGCAUCACGAGGAUUAAACUGUCUCCUUUCUCCGAUCAAUGAAACUGAUCUUCCCGUGAAGAAGCGGGAAUUAUUAUAUAAGACGAGAAGACCCCAUGGAGCUUUAAACCCAAUUACACCUCUAUUUUUAUUUCAUCUUACCUUUAGAAUCCUGUAUAUCUGGUUUUAGGUUGGGGUGACCACGGAGCAUAAACUAGCCUCCAUGAUGAAUGGAAAUCAAUUCCUUAUCCAAGAAUUACACAUCUAAGAAUUAGCACUCUAACAUAAAAUGAUCCAAUAUUUGAUCAACGAACCAAGUUACCCUGGGGAUAACAGCGCAAUCCACUUCAAGAGCUCCUAUCGACAAGUGGGUUUACGACCUCGAUGUUGGAUCAGGGUAUCCUAGUGGUGCAGCAGCUACUAAAGGUUCGUUUGUUCAACGAUUAAAACCCU